GACGAACGCUGGCGGCGUGCUUAACACAUUCAAGUCGAACGGAAAGGCCCUGCUUUUGUGGGUUGCUCGAGUGGCGAACGGGUGAGUAACACGUGAGUAACCUGCCCUUGACUUUGGGAUAACUUCAGGAAACUGGGGCUAAUACCGGAUCGGAGCUCCUGCUGCUUGGUGGGGGUUGGAAAGUUUCGGCGGUUGGGGAUGGACUCGCGGCUUAUCAGCUUGUUGGUGGGGUAGUGGCUUACCAAGGCUUUGACGGGUAGCCGGCCUGAGAGGGUGACCGGCCACAUUGGGACUGAGAUACGGCCCAGACUCCUACGGGAGGCAGAAGUGUGGAAUAUUGCACAAUGGGCGGAAGCCUGAUGCAGCAACGCCGCGUGCGGGAUGACGGCCUUCGGGUUGUAAACCGCUUUCGCCUGUGACGAAGCGUGAGUGACGGUAAUGGGUAAAGAAGCACCGGCUAACUACGUG
rnacentral:rRNA from 1 species